rnacentral:rRNA from 1 species
AUUGAACGCUGGCGGCAUGCCUUACACAUGCAAGUCGAACGGCAGCGCGGGGCAACCUGGCGGCGAGUGGCGAACGGGUGAGUAAUAUAUCGGAACGUACCCUGGAGUGGGGGAUAACGUAGCGAAGUUACGCUAAUACCGCAUACGAUCUAAGGAUGAAGUAGGGGCGUCGCAAGACCUCAUGCUCCUGGAGCGGCCGAUAUCUGAUUAGCUAGUUGGUAGGGAAAGCCUACCAAGGCAUCGAUCAGUAGCUGGUCUGAGAGGACGACCAGCCACACUGGAACUGAGACACGGUCCAGACUCCUACGGGAGGCAGCAGUGGGGAAUUUUGGACAAUGGGGGCAACCCUGAUCCAGCAAUGCCGCGUGAGUG